AGUGAACGCUGGCGGUAGGCCAAACACAUGCAAGUCGAACGGCAGCACAGGAGAGCUUGCUCUCUGGGUGGCGAGUGGCGGACGGGUGAGGAAUACAUCGGAAUCUACCAUUUCGUGGGGGAUAACGUAGGGAAACUUACGCUAAUACCGCAUACGACCUACGGGUGAAAGUGGGGGACCGCAAGGCCUCACGCGAUUAGAUGAGCCGAUGUCCGAUUAGCUAGUUGGCGGGGUAAUGGCCCACCAAGGCGACGAUCGGUAGCUGGUCUGAGAGGAUGAUCAGCCACACUGGAACUGAGACACGGUCCAGACUCCUACGGGAGGCAGCAGUGGGGAAUAUUGGACAAUGGGCGCAAGCCUGAUCCAGCCAUACCGCGUGGGUGAAGAAGGCCUUCGGGUUGUAAAGCCCUUUUGUUGGGAAAGAAAUCCUAUCGGUUAAUAACCGGUGGGGAUGACGGUACCCAAAGAAUAAGCACCGGCUAACUUCGUGCCAGCCGCCGCAGUAACAC
rnacentral:rRNA from 1 species